AAAUUGAAGAGUUUGAUCAUGGCUCAGAUUGAACGCUGGCGGCAGGCCUAACACAUGCAAGUCGAACGGUAACAGGAAGCGCUUGCUGCUUCGCUGACGAGUGGCGGACGGGUGAGUAAUGUCUGGGAAACUGCCUGAUGGAGGGGGAUAACUACUGGAAACGGUAGCUAAUACCGCAUAACGUCGCAAGA
rnacentral:rRNA from 1 species